GCUAGCGGCAGGCUUAACACAUGCAAGUCGAGGGGUAACAGGGAUUGCUUGCAAUCCGCUGACGACCGGCGCACGGGUGCGUAACGCGUAUGCAACUUACCUUUUACUGGGGGAUAGUCAAGAGAAAUUUUGAAUAAUACCCCAUACGAUCUAAUUCACUCCUGUGAGAUAGAAGAAAAUUACGAUGGUAAAAGAUAGGCAUGCGUCCUAUUAGUUUGUUGGUGAGGUAACGGCUCACCAAGACUACGAUAGGUAGGGGUCCUGAGAGGGAGAUCCCCCACACUGGUACUGAGACACGGACCAGACUCCUACGGGAGGCAGCAGUGAGGAAUAUUGGACAAUGGAGGCAACUCUGAUCCAGCCAUGCCGCGUGCAGGAAGACGGCCCUAUGGGUUGUAAACUGCUUUUAUACAGGAAGAAACGUUAGUACGUGUACUAGCCUGACGGUACUGUAAGAAUAAGGAUCGGCUAACUCCGUGCCAGCAGCCGCGGUAAUACGGAGGAUCCAAGCGUUAUCCGGAAUCAUUGGGUUUAAAGGGUCCGCAGGCGGUCUAUUAAGUCAGAGGUGAAAUCCUAUCGCUCAACGAUAGAACUGCCUUUGAUACUGGUAGACUUGAGUUAUUGUGAAGUAGUUAGAAUGUGUAGUGUAGCGGUGAAAUGCAUAGAUAUUACACAGAAUACCGAUUGCGAAGGCAGAUUACUAACAAUAUACUGACGCUCAGGGACGAAAGCGUGGGUAGCGAACAGGAUUAGAUACCCUGGUAGUCCACGCCGUAAACGAUGGUCACUAGCUGUUUGAUUAACAUUGGUUAGUUGAGUGGCUAAGCGAAAGUGAUAAGUGACCCACCUGGGGAGUACGCU
rnacentral:rRNA from 1 species